CAGAGUCUGUUCCGCUGUAGAGGUGACCUGACUGCUGGAGACUGCCUUUUGCAGGUGCAGAGAUCGGCCUUGCAGUUUGCAAUAAUGGUGAGUGUGGGCUCCUGGAACCUGCAGCAGCUCCGGCCUCUCGGCCUCCUCCUGCGCUUGAUGCGCUUUUAAAAAGCAGUAAUGCCGGGAGCUGUCCUCCGCGCGGUUUGCAAAAUCUGACUCAUUCUCACGACUGUCGCAGUAACCCAGAUACUGGAAAGGGGUUCGCAAGGACUCUAGAGAAAUCACUGUCCUUGGAAAGUCGGGUCUCAGUCCUUGCGCAGGAGGGACAAAAUUUUCUCCGAAGGACCUUAAAGGAUUUGUUGUGGGGGAUGAGAAUUAUGGGAGGGGAAGAAUUAGGUCCUAACACUAUUUUGCCUCUUAAGCUCUUGGAAAGAAUAGGCCUCUGAUGUUGAUUUACCGGUAGUGCUCCAGGUUAUGAUCCCAGUUUUCAGGAGACAUGUUUCCACCAUAUUUGAUUUAAAAGAAAACAAAUGUUACUGAAAACCUAUUCUUGAUCUCCGUUUGUAAUGACAGGACUAGCAUCGCUAGUCAAACAGUGCCGAUAUUCUUUACUACUCUGUCAUAAAUUCUGAAGGCCUCCUUGCAGAUGUAACGUAACCAUCUUGUUGAAGCUCUAGAUCUAUCUUGUCCUCAGCGGGCGGAGGGGGGUGACGUGAAAGAGAGCUCUGACGUAGGACUAAUCUUCAUGCUGUUUGAAGGUGACAUUUGCCACCAGACUGGAAAUUGCUAAGUACUUUGAAAUUUACAUUUUAAAAAUACGUGUUGUCCUUUAAUAUCAAGAUGGGAAAUGUGAGAUGAAUUGAAAAUUUUUGGAUGAAUUGGAAAUUUCACAGAACCCAAGGAGACAUGUUUUCAAACAAGGACAAAAACUCCCUCAAUCUCUAUAAGAAACCCUAAGGGAAUAAUUACUAAUUUCCAGUCAUUGUUGCCUAGUUAUUUUGACACAUAAGUAGUUAUUUAAAUUAUGGCUUAAGCAGUCUCUGUCUUAAUAAUUUUAGUAAUAAAGUGGCACUAGUUAUCCAAGAACUUCAGACUUUAGGCUGUUAGGCCUAUAUGAAAACCUUUUUACAAUCAUCUUAUCCAAAACCCCACUUUAAAUACUAAAAUUUAAUUUGUUGAGACUCAGAAUGCGAGUUGCUCAAGGUCAUAAGGCUUGCACCUAGGGUCUCUUGUUCUUCCCAUUUACCAGGAUUGUAUUAUGUGUUUGGCAAAUCACUUCAUAAUCCCCUUUAGGAAAUAAGUCCACAGAAUCAGCAUGUAACAUCUGAUAGCUUUGUUACAUGUCAUUCAGAGUGUUGAAAUUCUGAAGUUAAAGGGGCAUUUAAGGAUUGUUUCAUCUAAUCUUAAAACAGCCUGUCAUGGUCCUUGAUUUCCCAAGGUCAGAGAGAUCCAGGGCCCCUAGUUAGAGUGUAGAGUUUGUUAUUCACUAGAUGGAACUGGCCUCACCCUUAGAAGGUCACAUCUGGGCCAGAAGACAUGAGUUGUUCCAGGUAGAAGAGUUCUGUGAUGUUGCAGUCUCACAUGAUUCAUAACCAUCUUGCCUCCUGGGAAGAGGAUGCAAGCAAAUUGCUGCUUUAGAAAAGACCUGUCAGUUCCAGUCACCGUGGUGGUACACGUCCUAAAUCCCAGCUCUUGGGAGGCUCUGUGAUUUCAAAACCAGCUUGGACUACAUACUAAGUUCCAGGCCAGCCAGGGCUGCACAGGGAGACCCUGUCUCAUAAAAAAAGAAAAG
rnacentral:lncRNA from 1 species